CCCACUUAACAGAAAUUAAAAUUGUAGGAGAAAACACAGGGGUGUUGCAGAAUUGAUUCACAGGACACAACUUGAAGAUGCAGUAACCACAGAACUGUUUUUUGGUUUUUUGGUUUGUUUUUUUUCUUUUAGGUCCUUUCUCUUAAGGAUCUAAAAGAAAAGGGAAGGAAGAAAGGGGGUUGUUAUGGAAUUCAAAACCAUCCCGUUAAUUAUUGAGCCACUCUGGACACUGCAGCUGGAGGUUGGGAUUCCAGGAAGGUAGAAUGAAAUCAGAACAGUCCAGACAACAAGAAAAAACUUCUCUCAUCAUCAUUGAGAAAGACAAAUGUCCCCUUAAUAUGAAAUCUGAAAUAUAACCGGUGACAUUAGAGUUUCAAGCAGGAAAUUGGAGGUGCUAAUAAGGAAACAUGAGAAGCAAUGCACUUCUCUUAAGCCAAAAGGACACCUAAACAGGCAGCAAGAAGGAGGUGUGAAGGAUUAGGAGCCCUGGGACCCUUUGAAAGGAAGUUUAAUAAUCCAGCACUGCCCAUCCGGUGAGGCUGCCCAAGGGAAGCAGCUCCCUGCUGAACAAGGAACUGCUUCAAGUUCUGUAUGAGCCAGGCAAGCUCAAGAAAUUCACCCUGGUCUUUUUCACAGGAGUGGAUUCAAGCCUUGCACACCCAACCAAAAUAAAUGAGGGCUGUGCUUGGGGUUGGCACACCUGCCUGGGCUCAUGGGAGCUCAGUGAAUUCCAAGGAAUAUUCCAAAAUUCCAACAACCAAGGAAUCAGCUGCUGGACAGUGCUGGCAGGAGCAAUGCCACCAGUUAAGGGUGGGAUGCGUCCUUUGCAUCCUUUCUCAUUUUCUUUCAAUGGACAGAGUUGUCCAGCUGGAAAAGAAUGGUGUGAAUUCCACCUUCCCUGAGGGAAAACACACCUCAGCUGCUGUCAACACUUGUGAUUUAUAACCAAAGCCUUUGGACAUUUAGUGGGUUUCUCAAAGCCUGCACUCCUGGAGUCAAGUGUGUCUGAGACCUGCAUCUUUCUCACUCUCAAGGAGAGCUCCUGGCCUUUGAGUUUAUAGAAAAAUUUGAAAGCAGAACUGUUAAAAUGUCAAAGUGAAGGAGUAAAACAGCAGAACAACAUAAACAAAGUGGAAGGAAACAUUCCUCCAAAUGUCUGUGUUUAAUUUUCCUGACUUUCAUGCCAACCUCCAGGUUUUGGGUGCCUGACUCCUGAAUAUUGGAGCACUUCCAGUUGACAGCACAACAGCCUGGCACAGACAUCAGUAUAACCCAGUCCAGCAGCUGCCAGAAGUGACAGGGAAUGUUCACAUUCCUUUUCUUGUUUCUGAAGAGCAGAAGGAAAAGACAACCAAAGAAACGAACUGCAGGGAUGCAGGAAAUGCAGGGGUUGAACUGGGAACCUUCUCUCCAGCCACAUAGAGAAGUAUCUGGAUUUUCUCCAAAAGCAAAAUCCACACUCCAAACCUCACUGCUGUUUAUUACACGUGACAAAGGAGUGGGAAAAGCACAGGCAGGACUGUGGAAACCUGGAAGUGACAGUGAUUUCAUCAGGGAGAAGUCCCACAAGGCAGGAAGGGACCUGCAGUGUUUGCCAUUCCUCCCAUCACAGACAGAGCUGCACACCUGCCUCCAACUGACCAGGACUCACCUUGAAGAUAAUCUGGAUUUCUCACACUGCACCACCACGGGAAGGUCCCCCUGGAACUGUGUUACCCUAAAGCUCCUCAACUCCAGCUGACAUUCUCCCAUCCAGUUUGUGCCCUGUGCUGGUGUUUAACCUCACUCACACAGAGAGGUCUCCUGGACAGGAGGUUUUCCAGGUGUUCAAAUCCCUCCAUCCUUGCAGCAAUAUUCCAUCCACUCCCAGGAUUCCAUCCUCAGAAUGUGCCUGCCGAAGUCCUAUUUCCCCGUGACCCAGCCGCUGACAAGGAAGGAGGGUGGAGAUGUGUUUUGCCAGGUUUGCUUCCUUCCCCUGUGCCUCCUGCUGCUCCUGCCUGUCCCACAGUGAUGGAUGGCUAUUGGUUCUGGCUUCAUCCCACGGAGAGAUCUGUCACCUCAUGCCAGGGAGAGGUGACAGCAAAUCCAUCAGCAUGGAGACAGCACUCAGUGGCAGAUUGCUUUCAAGGCCACUGGGGGCUGGAUUCUUCUUUGCCUCCCACCUCUCUGGUUCCUCUCCUCCCCUGUUUUACACAGGUCUUAGUAAAUCUUCAUUUGAACAAA